AAGUAAAAGUCGUAACAAGGUUUCCGUAGGUGAACCUGCGGAAGGAUCAUUAUCGUUGGGCUUCGGCCCAUUCGAGAUAACACCCUUGCCUUUUUGAGUACCUUUUCGUUUCCUCGGCAGGCUCGCCUGCCAACGGGGACCCUUCAAAACGCUUUGUAAUACCUGUAAUUGUCUGAUAUAACAAGCAAAAAUCAAAACUUUCAACAACGGAUCUCUUGGUUCUGGCAUCGAUGAAGAACGCAGCGAAAUGCGAUAAGUAGUGUGAAUUGCAGAAUUCAGUGAAUCAUCGAAUCUUUGAACGCACAUUGCGCCCUUUGGUAUUCCUUAGGGCAUGCCUGUUCGAGCGUCAUUUAAACCUUCAAGCUCAGCUUGGUGAUGGGUGACUGUCCUCCCCUCGCGGGGGGACUCGCCUCAAAAACAUUGGCGGCCGGUACAUUGGCUUCGAGCGCAGCAGAAACGCGGUCUCGAGCCCGGUGGAUCGGCUCCCAUAAGUCUAUYCUUUUAUUUUGACCUCGGAUCAGGUAGGGAUACCCGCUGAACUUAAGCAU
rnacentral:rRNA from 1 species